CACCUCAUCAACCGGAAGGGAUUCCUUCCGGUUGAUGAGGUUGUUACACCACAUCAACCGGAAGGAUUCCUUCCGGUUGAUGAGGUU
rnacentral:miRNA from 1 species